AUUGAACGCUGGCGGCUGGCCUAACACAUGCAAGUCGAGCGGAUGAAGGGAGCUUGCUCCUGGAUUCAGCGGCGGACGGGUGAGCAAUGCCUAGGAAUCUGCCUGGUAGUGGGGGAUAACGUCCGGAAACGGGCGCUAAUACCGCAUACGUCCUGAGGGAGAAAGUGGGGGAUCUUCGGACCUCACGCUAUCAGAUGAGCCUAGGUCGGAUUAGCUAGUUGGUGGGGUAAAGGCCUACCAAGGCGACGAUCCGUAACUGGUCUGAGAGGAUGAUCAGUCACACUGGAACUGAGACACGGUCCAGACUCCUACGGGAGGCAGCAGUGGGGAAUAUUGGACAAUGGGCGAAAGCCUGAUCCAGCCAUGCCGCGUGUGUGAAGAAGGUCUUCGGAUUGUAAAGCACUUUAAGUUGGGAGGAAGGGCAGUAAGUUAAUACCUUGCUGUUUUGACGUUACCAACAGAAUAAGCACCGGCUAACUUCGUG
rnacentral:rRNA from 1 species